rnacentral:snRNA from 1 species
GGAUGUGAGGACAAUCUGGCUGUGACAUCUGUCAUCCCAUUGAUUGCCAGGGUUGAUUCAGCCUAUCUGGCUGGCUGGGCAGGUGUCCCCUCCUCCCUCACCUCCCUCACCGCUCCACGUGCAUCACUCCUUUGAAGAGGACAGCCUUCCCAAAUAGAGAUGGACCAGUCUUCGGUCUAGGGUAUACAAAUAGCUGCGCUCCCCUGCUAGAACCUCCAAACAAGCUCUCAAAAUUGUCAAACCCUUAGUCAGACUUACUAGAAAAGGGCGGUGGGCUAGAAGAUACAAAUAUAUAGAACUGUAAACAAUAGAGGAGAUACUGCCCUCCUUACUAGUU